GGGGGGAUAUUGCACAAUGGGCGAAAGCCUGAUGCAGCGACGCCGCGUGGGGGAUGAAGGCCUUCGGGUUGUAAACUUCUUUUGCUCUGAACAAGGCAUGCUUUUGGGGUGUGUUGAGUGCAGGGGUUGAUUAGCGCCGGCUAACUACGUGCCAGCAGCCGCGGUAAUACGUAGGGCGCGAGCGUUGUCCGGAAUUAUUGGGCGUAAAGGGCUUGUAGGUGGCUGGUUGCGUCUGUCGUGAAAGCUCAUGGCUUAACUGUGGGUUUGCGGUGGGUACGGGCUGGCUUGAGUGCAGUAGGGGAGACUGGAAUUCCUGGUGUAGCGGUGAAAUGCGCAGAUAUCAGGAGGAAUACCGGUGGCGAAGGCGGGUCUCUGGGCUGUUACUGACGCUGAGGAGCGAAAGCGUGGGGAGCGAACAGG
rnacentral:rRNA from 1 species